rnacentral:rRNA from 1 species
UACAGAGGGGCCAGCGUUAUUCGGAAUUAUUGGGCGUAAAGGCGCGUAGGCGGCCAUGCGUGUCUUCCGUGAAAUCCCUCGGCUUAACUGAGGACGUGCGGAAGAAACUACAAGGCUUGAGUCCGGGAGAGGGGGUGGAAUUCCCAGUGUAGCGGUGAAUGCGUAGAUAUUGGGAGGAACACCGGUGGCGAAGGCGGCCCCUGGACCGGUACUGACGCUGAUGCGCGAAGCGUGGGAGCGAACAGG